CCUACGGGAGGCAGCAGUGGGGAAUCUUGCGCAAUGGGCGAAAGCCUGACGCAGCAACGCCGCGUGCGGGAAGAAGGCUUUCGGGCUGUAAACCGCUUUCAGCAGGAACGAAAAUGACGGUACCUGCAGAAGAAGGAGCGGCCAACUAUGUGCCAGCAGCCGCGGUGAUACAUAGGCUUCAAGCGUUGUCCGGAUUUAUUGGGCGUAAAGAGUUCGUAGGCGGUCGAGUAAGUCGGGUGUGAAAAUUCUGGGCUCAACCCAGAGACGCCACCCGAUACUGCUUGACUUGAGUUCGAUAGGGGAGUGGGGAAUUCCUAGUGUAGCGGUGAAAGUGCGCAGAUAUUAGGAGGAACACCGGUGGCGAAGGCGCCACUCUGGAUCGAUACUGACGCUGAGGAACGAAAGCAUGGGUAGCAAACAGGAUUAGAUACCCUGGUAGUCCAUGCCGUAAACGGUGGGCACUAGGUGUGGGAUUCGUAUUAACGAAUUCCGCGCCGUCGCUAACGCAUUAAGUGCCCCGCCUGGGGAUACGGUCGCAAGACUAAAACUCAAAGGAAUUGACGG
rnacentral:rRNA from 1 species